rnacentral:rRNA from 1 species
AUUGAACGCUGGCGGCAGGCCUAACACAUGCAAGUCGAGCGAGCGGCGGACGGGUGAGUAAUGUCUGGGAAACUGCCUGAUGGCGGGGGAUAACUAAUGGAAACGGUAGCUAAUAACGCAUACCAUCAGAUGUGACAAGAUGGGAUUAGCUAGUAGGUGGGGUAACGGCUCACCUAGGCGACGAUCCCUAGCUGGUCUGAGAGGAUGACCCGCCACACUGGAACUGAGACACGGCCCAGAUUCCUCCGGGAGGCAGCAGUGGGGAAUAUUGCACAAUGGGCGCAAGCCUGAUGCAGCCAUGCCGCGUGUGUGAAGAAGGCCUUCGGGUUGUAAAGCGCUUUCAGCGGGGAGGCGUUAACCGCAGAAGAAGCACCGGCUAACUCCGUGCCAGCCGCCGCGGUAAUAC